GAUUAAUUUAUGAUUUUGCUGUUCUCAGGUUCGUGAUUAACACCUGCAAGCAAUUAAAAGAGAAGAAGUCAUAUCUAGUAUGGAAUGCAGUUGGUUGUCUUGGAGUUUAUGCUAUGAUGGAUCUUGUGAAAGAGGUGAAUACCAUUCAGCAUUGCGGGGGACAAAAAACUGCAGAUGGAAAGAGAUUCCGUACCGGUGGUGGUAUUUUAUGGAAUAUUUUAAAGAGUCGUGAGCCAAAUGCAUA